CCUACGGGGGGCUGCAGUGAGGAAUAUUGGUCAAUGGACGAGAGUCUGAACCAGCCAAGUAGCGUGAAGGAUGACUGCCCUAUGGGUUGUAAACUUCGUUUAUAAAGGAAUAAAACGAGGCACGUGUGCCUUUUUGCAUGUACGUUAUGAAGAAGGAUCGGCUAACUCCGUGCCAGCAGCCGCGGUAAUACGGAGGAUCCGAGCGUUAUCCGGAUUUAUUGGGUUUAAAGGGAGCGUAGAUGGGUUGUUAAGUCAGUUGUGAAAGUUUGCGGCUCAACCGUAAAAUUGCCAUUGUUACUGGCAGUCUUGCGUACAGUUGAGGUAGGCGGACUUCGUGUUGUCGCGGU
rnacentral:rRNA from 1 species